CGGGGCGGGCGGCGCCUCGCGGGUGGGAAGUACGGUAGCGGCUGCGGCCGCGCCGGCGGGAAGGACCUGCGCCCUGCCUCGGAGGCGGGCUGCAGCAGGCGAAGCCCUUUCCGCCUUGGAGCAGGGGCCCCGAUACGUGCUUAUAACAAGGUCUUGAGCUACACGAGUGAGGCGCGCUCCAGGAUGUGUUGGUGUUGAGUUUUGUGGGGAGUUUUAUUUUCCUUCUAUUAGCGGUAGUACGGUAGAGGCCGUCAUCCCGGUGCCAGCAGCCGGUUGGCUCGGCAGAUAUCAGGGCUUGGAAGCGCGACCGGAGAGCCGAGACGCGGGGCAGGGCGGCACGGACCCGCAGUGUGUCAGUUGGAGGCGAUGAAGGCACCGUGUUUGCCCAGGUCUUAGCCACCUGCUGCAAUAAAAAUAACACUAAAGCCACUGGAAGAAUUCUUCACGUCAAUAGUCAAGACUCUUUGCAAUAA
rnacentral:lncRNA from 1 species